GGAUGAACGCUGGCGGCGUGCCUACUCCCUGCAAGUCGAGCGAACAGACGAGGAGCUUGCUCCUCUGACGUUAGCGGCGGACGGGUGAGUAACACGUGGAUAACCUACCUAUAAGACUGGGAUAACUUCGGGAAACCGGAGCUAAUACCGGAUAAUAUAUUGAACCGCAUGGUUCAAUAGUGAAAGACGGUUUUGCUGUCACUUAUAGAUGGAUCCGCGCCGCAUUAGCUAGUUGGUAAGGUAACGGCUUACCAAGGCAACGAUGCGUAGCCGACCUGAGAGGGUGAUCGGCCACACUGGAACUGAGACACGGUCCAGACUCCUACGGGAGGCAGCAGUAGGGAAUCUUCCGCAAUGGGCGAAAGCCUGACGGAGCAACGCCGCGUGAGUGAUGAAGGUCUUCGGAUCGUAAAACUCUGUUAUUAGGGAAGAACAAAUGUGUAAGUAACUAUGCACGUCUUGACGGUACCUAAUCAGAAAGCCACGGCUAACUACGUG
rnacentral:rRNA from 1 species